rnacentral:rRNA from 1 species
ACGGAGGCCCCUAGCGUUGUUCGGAAUUAUUGGGCUUAAAGCGCGUGUAGGCGGGUCGGUAAGUGCCUUGUGAAAUCCCCGGGCUCAACCUGGGAAUUGCUCGGCAUACUGCCGGUCUUGAGGCAGGUAUGGGUCACUGGAACCUUAGGUGUAGCGGUGAAAUGCGUAGAUAUCUAAGGGAACGCCGGUGGCGAAAGCGGGUGACUGGGCCUGUCCUGACGCUGAGACGCGAAAGCGUAGGGAGCAAACGG